GGAUAUAGAUUCCAAAAGCCUAGAUGGCUGCAAGGAAGGAAUGUUCUAAUUAAACAGACUACAUAGGAAAGCUAAAGGAAACGCCCAGUGCAUUUAAGAAUCUGCAAUAGUAACCUCAACCUCCACACCGGGUUCAAUUGUGAUGGAGGUGAUCUGCUUAACUACAUCUGGAGAGCUGAAGAGAUCAAUCACUCGCUUGUGAACACGAAGCUCAAAUCUGUCCCAAGUGUUGGUUCCUGUGAAUCAAAAAGUGAGCCACAAUGAUUUAGAAUUGGGAGAAGUUCCAUGUCAAGAAAUAAAUAGCCUGUGGCACUUCAUUUGCUAUGGAAAUGACAGCCUUAAGCAAAACAUCACUCUUCAAAACACAUGCUAAGAAUUAGUCAGGUACAAGGAACUAGAGAUAAGAUACAUAGAGAAUAUAAAACCCAAAAGCAAGAGAAGCUACUAUACUCGCAACUGUUCUAAAAGGGAUUAUAAAAUAAAUAUAAUGGAUAAGAUAUCCUGAACACUGUCAAGCUCUGAAGACCUUAAAUGAGCUAGGCAUACUAAAGAGAUGAAAUUCAGAUAGGUGGAGCAACAAGUACCCAACAAUAGAAUACACCUAUUUUAGUGUAUUGUUUGUGUAGAUAAUUAACAUUCACAUCAGAACAUAAACUGCUUAUGGGAUUAUUCAUUUAUUUUUAUAGGCAGAAAGAUAUGAACAGGGUUGAUGUUUUUGAUAUUUACUACAGAAAAGAGGAAUAGCACUGGUUAAUUUAGCACCCUCUCAAGCAUUGAAAAUCCAAUACUCUGUUUACCUCUUAAGACCAAAAAAGACCUCAUCACAUCAGGAACCAGCCCCAGAAACUGGUGGUCUAUCCUGAGAUUGCAACAUCCCAUGUACCCACUACUUUCAGUAUCCAUAACACACAAAUCAAUACUCUUUUAAAUAAUAGUGAAUUAGUAAAAAAAAGGUAAUUUCCUAGAGUCAGAAAUUAAACCAUAAUAGAGAAUGGAUAUUUCAUCACAUAGAUUUUACUGUUCACAUAGUUGAAUAUGAUAUGCCAUUUAUUUUGGAGAUCUCCCUCCACUAUAAUUUCAUAUAUAACUAAUGCACAACCCAAUAGCUAAGAUGAGAAGCAUAAACAAAAACUAAAAUAAGGUUCACUUGUGAAUAGCUCUAUCCAGUUGGUUUCAAAAUCAAUACCUUCACCACAGGGAGAUUUCCUGGUAGUGAUGUGAAGAACCUUGGUGGGCAUUCUCACAGGUCCCUUGACCCUCAACCUCUUGUCCUUGGCACCACGAACCAAAUCAGCGCACACUGUGGACAAUAAAUCCAAAAACAAACAAAGAAAGUUAAAAUGAAAACUAGCCAUCCUAAUAGAAAGUUAAACAAAUGUUCAGACUGGUUUACACCAAUUAAUCAGAAAAUACAAAGUACCAGAAAAUGAUGCUACAUUAUGAAGAGAAUCAAAUGGGGCUGAUGUGAUUAAAACAAUAAAAACAAAAUUAAAAUUAAAAUACAUUGAUUCCUAAUUCUGUUAAUUUCAUUGCAUCCACUGUAUGUAUUAUCUUCAGGGUGGUUUUCCUGGUUUUUAGAGCUUUGGAAAGCAGAAAAUGUUUUUUCUUUAAAAAAAAUAUUUGUACACAUUACCCAAAAAUAAAUUUACAUGAUCAAAAUGGGUUUGAUUAUGCAUGUAAAUCAUAUUAGAAUAACAAGAAAUUACAAUAAAACAAAAUAUAAUAUAAAUAACAAGAAAGAAUAAAACAAGCUUAACAUAGAGAAGAUCAAUUCUGAAAAAAUUAAACAUUAAAUGGAUAUAAUAACAGGUAAGAAUAAAAAAAGACCUUUCUCAAGGUUCUUGACAUUCUUGGAGGACAAGGUGAUCCUGAUCUUAUGAAUAGCCUCCUGGGGUUCCUCCAACCCAGGCUUUGUUGGUUUCAUUGCUGCAUACGCCAUGGUCCCUUUGUCUGCUUUAGAUUUGAUGCAUGAAAUAUAAAUUAUACGUUAGUUUAGAAAAGAUAUGUCAAAUUUGAACAUAGACAAGAAAUCAACAAAAAUUUUCCUUUCACUCCAUGUCGUUGCCCAGAAAAUAUACAUAGCUAACUGAAUUAAAUUUUCAGUUAGUCAAUGAUUGGACUAAAGAGUGUGAGAGAACAUUAAAAGAAAAAAAAGAAGAAGAAAUUGAAGGCAAAAAUUUGAAGGCAAAACACAGGGGGUUUAGACAAAACGGACCACAAAACAUAUUAUAUAACAGAUUUUUCCCUCAAUUAUCCCAGCAACCAAACUUCUUCCUCAUUAAAUCAAACAGAAUUUUUACGACACCCAAAAUAAUAGGAAAUACAGAAUUUGAAACGACAUUAAUCUCAUGUUUCGAGUUUUCUCAGCAAGCAAACAAAGGUUUAGUUCUUCCAAAUCAAAUCAUAAUAAACCAUACCCAUAAACCAGAACAUUUAAACUCGAUUUGAAGUCCAUUUUCUUUUCCUCGAUUUUGUAACACCAAAGCAAAGUACAGGAUCUCCUAAUCAUAUGCCGCAAAACGAUUUGCAAAAGGAUACAAAACAACAUCCACUAUACGAUUUACAAUAUCGAAAUCCAAUCUAGAUCCAAUUACCAAAAGAAUACCAAACACAAAAAAUGCAUCAAAAAAGUUGCUGUUUUCUCUAUUUUCUCGACAAACGAAGAAAAGGUAAUCAUAGAGAGGGUCGAAUAGUAACGAGAGAAUGUGAAAGGCAAUCACCUGGCCUGAAGCUCUGGAGCUGAGGAGAGAAGGCGGCUUCUACUCUGAAG
rnacentral:lncRNA from 1 species